CCUGCCGUCGCCGCGGCAACUUUUCUCCCACCUCAGGUUUGCCACCGAGCCAACCAACGCCGUGCCCUCGAUCCAAAAUCCCAUGGCCUCGUCCUGAUCCAAUGUAGUCGCACCUGUCGUCCUCGCCUGCGAACACCCCGCCGUUUGAUUCGGGAUGCGCUGGCACCACAGCUCCUCCCGUCCGCCCUAGGAGCUCGCGCCCGAUGCCUCCUCACGCUAACGGCGACCGGCGCCGCCGCGAGCGACCGAACCAGGCCAGUCGCAUCACCCCUCUUCUUCUUCUCUCCCUCUCUCUCUCAUGCCCUGCUCUCUCCCUCCCAUGAUAGGAACAACCAUGGUGCUCCUCCGUCGAAGCUCGUCACGUCCGUCCUCGUCUUUCGCGUCCACACGCAUCGCUGCCGCACGGAAUCGUCGCUGGAAAGCCACCUCCGACGGACCUGCGAGACCCUGUCUCUUCCUCGAGUUAAGCCGCGCAAGAACCCAUGGAGGCGUGCGUCCUGUCUCUCGUAGAGCUUCCGAGCCGUGGACGCAUGGCCGCCGUCUAUGUGAAGCGUGCCAUGUCCGGCCUCUCGUCGUCGGCCACCGGAGCCGCAGCCAUCUCCGCUGGAGUAAGCAUGCAUCCUCGACCGUGGCACGCAGCAUCUCUGUUUCCCAUGUUCUGUUUGGUUCGGUCAAUGCCAAAGUACCUGUCAUGUAGCGCAAAAACCUGUGAUUUUUCACAUUCGCUUCGUAGUCUGUCUAGUCAGCGCUUUGGUCUGGAACCACGUGAUCGUGGGUUCGAGUCACCAUGGAUGCAUUAUGUUUUCACGCAUUUUUCCUUCACCCGCAAAUUAGCUUUUGUCUUUGCUUCAGUUAAAAUGGAAUCCAUGUUCGUUCACACA